GUAUCUUUGGUGUUUAAUGGUAGCACUCUCGCCUUCCAAGCGAGCGGUAAGAGUUCAAAUCUCUUAAGAUACUCCA
rnacentral:tRNA from 1 species